rnacentral:rRNA from 1 species
GAAGUCAAUUACUACUUAAUAUACACAUGCAAGUCUCCGCCCCCCUGUGAAAACGCCCUUAAACCCCCCCCUUAGGGACAAGGAGCCGGUAUCAGGCACAACAAUUCGCCCAAAACACCUAGCUUUGCCACACCCACAAGGGAGUCCAGCAGUGAUUAACAUUGAAUAUUAGCGAAAGCUUGAUUCAGUUAAAGUAUAUAGAGCCGGCUAAUCUGGUGCCAGCCGCCGCGGUUACACCAUGUGGCUCAAAUUGACCCUCUACCGGCGUAAAGCGUGAUUAAAGCUAUCAACAAUUAGAGUUAAACUAAAACUAAGCUGUGACACGCUUGUUAUUAAGAAGCCCAAACACGAAAGUUACCCUAAUUAAAUCAACUUGA